UACGUAGGGGGCAAGCGUUGUCCGGAUUUAUUGGGCGUAAAGCGCACGUAGGCGGAUUGUUAAGUCAGGGGUGAAAUCCUGGAGCUCAACUCCAGAACUGCCUUUGAUACUGGCAAUCUUGAGUCCGGAAGAGGUGAGUGGAACUCCUAGUGUAGAGGUGGAAUUCGUAGAUAUUAGGAAGAACACCAGUGGCGAAGGCGGCUCACUGGUCCGGUACUGACGCUGAGGUGCGAAAGCGUGGGGAGCAAACAGG
rnacentral:rRNA from 1 species